GCGUUCUCGUCGAGCAGCGAAGCGUACGCCGCCAUCCGGA
rnacentral:tRNA from 1 species